rnacentral:rRNA from 1 species
UGGGGAAUUUUGGACAAUGGGCGAAAGCCUGAUCCAGCAAUGCCGCGUGUGUGAAGAAGGCCUUCGGGUUGUAAAGCACUUUUGUCCGGAAAGAAAUGGCUCUGGUUAAUACCUGGGGUCGAUGACGUUACCGGAAGAAUAAGGACCGGCUAACUACGUGCCAGCAGCCGCGGUAAUACGUAGGGUCCAAGCGUUAAUCGGAAUUACUGGGCGUAAAGCGUGCGCAGGCGGUUGUGCAAGACCGAUGUGAAAUCCCCGAGCUUAACUUGGGAAUUGCAUUGGUGACUGCACGGCUAGAGUGUGUCAGAGGGGGGUAGAAUUCCACGUGUAGCAGUGAAAUGCGUAGAGAUGUGGAGGAAUACCGAUGGCGAAGGCAGCCCCCUGGGAUAACACUGACGCUCAUGCACGAAAGCGUGGGGAGCAAACAGG